UACGGAGGGUGCAAGCAUUAAUCGGAUUUAUUGGGCGUAAAGGGCGCGUAGGCUGGGAUAAAAGUCAGAUGUGAAAUCCCGAGGCUCAACCUCGGAACAGCAUUUGAAACUCUAUUUCUAGAGGGUAGGCGGAGAAAACGGAAUUCCACAAGUAGCGGUGAAAUGCGUAGAUAUGUGGAAGAACACCCGUGGCGAAGGCGGUUUUCUAGCUUACUCCUGACGCUGAGGCGCGAAAGCAAGGGGAUCAAACAGG
rnacentral:rRNA from 1 species